UACGGGGGGGGCAAGCGUUGUUCGGAAUUACUGGGCGUAAAGGGCUCGUAGGCGGCCAACUAAGUCAGACGUGAAAUCCCCCGGCUUAACCUGGGAACUGCGUCUGAUACUGGGGGGCUUGAGUAUGGGAGAGGGAUGUAGAAUUCCAGGUGUAGCGGUGAAAUGCGUAGAUAUCUGGAGGAAUACCGGUGGCGAAGGCGGCAUCCUGGACCAUUACUGACGCUGAGGCGCGAAAGCUAGGGGAGCAAACGGG
rnacentral:rRNA from 1 species